AUUGAACGCUGGCGGCAGGCCUAACACAUGCAAGUCGAGCGGAUGAAGGGAGCUUGCUCCAGGAUUCAGCGGCGGACGGGUGAGUAAUGCCUAGGAAUCUGCCUGGUAGUGGGGGAUAACGUCCGGAAACGGGCGCCAAUACCGCAUACGUCCUGAGGGAGAAAGUGGGGGAUCUUCGGACCUCACGCUAUCAGAUGAGCCUAGGUCGGAUUAGCUAGUUGGUGGGGUAAAGGCCUACCAAGGCGACGAUCCGUAACUGGUCUGAGAGGAUGAUCAGUCACACUGGAACUGAGACACGGUCCAGACUCCUACGGGAGGCAGCAGUGGGGAAUAUUGGACAAAGGGCGAAAGCCUGAUCCAGCCAUGCCGCGUGUGUGAAGAAGGUCUUCGGAUUGUAAAGCACUUUAAGUUGGGAGGAAGGGCAGUAAGUUAAUACCUUGCUGUUUUGACGUUACCAACAGAAUAAGCACCGGCUAACUUCGUG
rnacentral:rRNA from 1 species